rnacentral:rRNA from 1 species
CUUGACUUAUAAUAAGAGGUCCAGCCUGCCCAGUGAAUUUUUAACGGCCGCGGUAUCCUAACCGCGCGAAGGUAGCAUAAUCACUUGUUCUUUAAAUGGGGACUCGUAUCAACGGCAUCACGAGGGUUUUACUGUCUCCUCUUUUUGAUCAGUGAAAUUGAUCUUCCCGUGAAGAAGCGGGAAUAAUCCUAUAAGACGAGAAGACCCCAUGGAGCUUAAAACCAAAUAACAACUUAACCACUUACCCCACUAGAAAUUUAAGCCCUGUUAUAAGGUUUUUGGUUGGGGUGACCGCGGAGUAAAGAACAUCCUCCACGACGGAAAGAACACACGCUUUAUUUAAGAACCACAAUUCUAGAAAUUAGUAUACUAACGUUUACUGACCCGAUAAUCGAUCAACGGACCA